rnacentral:rRNA from 1 species
AUUGAACGCUGGCGGCAGGCCUAACACAUGCAAGUCGAACGGUAACAGGAAACAGCUUGCUGUUUCGCUGACGAGUGGCGGACGGGUGAGUAAUGUCUGGGAAACUGCCUGAUGGAGGGGGAUAACUACUGGAAACGGUAGCUAAUACCGCAUAACGUCGCAAGACCAAAGAGGGGGACCUUCGGGCCUCUUGCCAUCGGAUGUGCCCAGAUGGGAUUCGCUUGUUGGUGGGGUAACGGCUCACCAAGGCGACGAUCCCUAGCUGGUCUGAGAGGAUGACCAGCCACACUGGAACUGAGACACGGUCCAGACUCCUACGGGAGGCAGCAGUGGGGAAUAUUGCACAAUGGUCGCAAGCCUGAUGCAGCCAUGCCGCGUGUAUGAAGAAGGCCUUCGGGUUGUAAAGUACUUUCAGCGGGGAGGAAGGGAGUAAAGUUAAUACCUUGGCUCAUUGACGUUACCCGCAGAAGAAGCACCGGCUAACUCCGUG